GACGAACGCUGGCGGCGUGCUUAACACAUGCAAGUCGAACGGAAAGGCCCUGCUUUUGUGGGGUGCUCGAGUGGCGAACGGGUGAGUAACACGUGAGUAACCUGCCCUUGACUUUGGGAUAACUUCAGGAAACUGGGGCUAAUACCGGAUAGGAGCUCCUGCUGCAUGGUGGGGGUUGGAACGUUUCGGCGGUUGGGGAUGGACUCGCGGCUUAUCAGCUUGUUGGUGGGGUAGUGGCUUACCAAGGCUUUGACGGGUAGCCGGCCUGGGAGGGUGACCGGCGACAUGAGGACUGAGAUACGGCCCAGACUCCUACGGGAGGCAGCAGGGGGGAGUAUUGCACAAUGGGCGGAAGCCUGAUGCAGCAACGCCGCGUGCGUGAUGACGGCCUUCGGGGUGUAAACCGCUUUCGCCUGUGACGAAGCGUGAGUGACGGUAAUGGGUAAAGAAGCACCGGCUAACUACGUG
rnacentral:rRNA from 1 species